GCAAGUCGAACGGAGUUAUACCGACUGAAGUUUUCGGAUGGACGUCGAUAUAGCUUAGUGGCGAACGGGUGAGUAACACGCGAGGAACCUGCCCUGAAGUGGGGGACAACAGUUGGAAACGACUGCUAAUACCGCAUAAGCCCACAGUGUCGCAUGGCACAGCGGGAAAAGGGUUUAUUCGCUUUAGGAUGGACUCGCGUCCAAUUAGGUAGAUGGUGAGGUAACGGCCCACCAUGCCGACGAUUGGUAGCCGGACUGAGAGGUUGAUCGGCCACAUUGGGACUGAGACACGGCCCAGACUCCUACGGGAGGCAGCAGUGGGGAAUAUUGCACAAUGGGGGAAACCCUGAUGCAGCGACGCCGCGUGGAGGAAGAAGGCCCUCGGGUUGUAAACUCCUGUCUUUGGGGACGAUAAUGACGGUACCCAAGGAGGAAGCCACGGCUAACUACGUGCCAGCAGCCGCGGUAAAACGUAGGUGGCAAGCGUUGUCCGGAAUUACUGGGUGUAAAGGGAGCGCAGGCGGAGCGGCAAGUUGGAGGUGAAACUCAUGGGCUCAACCCAUGAACUGCCUUCAAAACUGUCGGUCUUGAGUGGUGUAGAGGUAAGCGGAAUUCCCGGUGUAGCGGUGGAAUGCGUAGAUAUCGGGAGGAACACCAGUGGCGAAGGCGGCUUACUGGGCACUAACUGACGCUGAGGCUCGAAAGCAUGGGUAGCAAACAGGAUUAGAUACCCUGGUAGUCCAUGCCGUAAACGAUGAUCACUAGGUGUGGGGGGAUCGACCCCCUCCGUGCCGCAGUUAACACAAUAAGUGAUCCACCUGGGGAGUACGACCGCAAGGUUGCAACUCAAAGGAAUUGACGGA
rnacentral:rRNA from 1 species